UACAGAGGUCUCAAGCGUUGUUCGGAAUUACUGGGCGUAAAGCGCGCGCAGGCGGCUUCUUAAGUCCAUCGGUGAAAUGCCGGGGCUCAACCCCGUUGCAGGCCGAGGAUACUGGGAGGCUGGAGACGAGUAGAGGCAAGCGGAAUUCCGGGUGUAGCGGUGGAAUGCGUAGAGAUCCGGAAGAACACCGGAGGCGAAGGCGGCUUGCUGGGCUUGGUCUGACGCUGAGGCGCGAAAGCGUGGGGAGCGAACAGG
rnacentral:rRNA from 1 species